CCAAUAGCGUAUAUUAAAGUUGCUGCAGUUAAAAAGCUCGUAGUUGAAUUUCGGGACCAAUAUGUCGGUCGUGCCUCGGUACGUACUGGCAUCGUUGGUUUCUCCCUUCUGACGAACCAUGAUGUCAUUUAUUUGGUGUCGUGGGGAAUCAGGACUGUUACUUUGAAAAAAUUAGAGUGUUUAAAGCAGGCUCACGCUUGAAUACAUUAGCAUGGAAUAAUGAAAUAGGACGUUUGAUUCUAUUUUGUUGGUUUCUAGGAUCGACGUAAUGAUUAAUAGGGAUAGUUGGGGGCAUUAGUAUUCAAUUGUCAGAGGUGAAAUUCUUGGAUUUAUUGAAGACUAACUACUGCGAAAGCAUUUGCCAAGGAUGUUUUCAUUAAUCAAGAACGAAAGUUGGGGGAUCGAAGACGAUCAGAUACCGUCGUAGUCUUAACCAUAAACUAUGCCGACUAGGGAUCGGAUGAUGUUAAUUUUUUAAUGACUCAUUCGGCGCCUUACG
rnacentral:rRNA from 1 species